rnacentral:rRNA from 1 species
GAUGAACGCUGGCGGCGUGCCUAAUACAUGCAAGUCGAGCGAACGGACGAGAAGCUUGCUUCUCUGAUGUUAGCGGCGGACGGGUGAGUAACACGUGGAUAACCUACCUAUAAGACUGGGAUAACUUCGGGAAACCGGAGCUAAUACCGGAUAAUAUUUUGAACCGCAUGGUUCAAAAGUGAAAGACGGUCUUGCUGUCACUUAUAGAUGGAUCCGCGCUGCAUUAGCUAGUUGGUAAGGUAACGGCUUACCAAGGCAACGAUGCAUAGCCGACCUGAGAGGGUGAUCGCCCACACUGGAACUGAGACACGGUCCAGACUCCUACGGGAGGCAGCAGUAGGGAAUCUUCCGCAAUGGGCGAAAGCCUGACGGAGCAACGCCGCGUGAGUGAUGAAGGUCUUCGGAUCGUAAAACUCUGUUAUUAGGGAAGAACAUAUGUGUAAGUAACUGUACACAUCUUGACGGUACCUAAUCAGAAAGCCACGGCUAACUACGUG